rnacentral:rRNA from 1 species
UACGGGGGGGGCAAGCGUUGUUCGGAAUUACUGGGCGUAAAGGGCUCGUAGGUGGCCAACUAAGUCGGACGUGAAAUCCCUCAGCUUAACUGGGGAACUGCGUCCGAUACUGGAUGGCUUGAGAUUGGGAGAGGGAUGCGGAAUUCCAGGUGUAGCGGUGAAAUGCGUAGAUAUCUGGAGGAACACCGGUGGCGAAGGCGGCAUCCUGGACCAACACUGACACUGAGGAGCGAAAGCCAGGGGAGCAAACGGG